rnacentral:misc_RNA from 1 species
GAUGAAGAACGUAGCGAAAUGCGAUAAGUAGUGUGAAUUGCAGAAUUCAGUGAAUCAUCGAAUCUUUGAACGCACAUUGCGCCCCUCGGUAUUCCGUGGGGCAUGCCUGUUCGAGCGUCAUUUCAACCCUUAAGCCUAGCUUAGUGUUGGGAAUCUGCUGUAUUGCAGUUCCUCAAAUACAACGGCGGAUCUGUAACAUCCUCUGAGCGUAGUAAAUUUUUAUCUCGCUUUUGUUAGGUGUUGCAGCUCUCAGCCGCUAAACCCCCCAAUUUUUGUGGUUGACCUCGGAUCAGGUAGGAAUACCCGCUGAACUUAAGCAUAUCAAUAAGCGGAGGA